AAGACUAUAGACCUGCGGAGUACCUGCGGAAGGAUCAUUAUUGAAUUAUGUUUCUAAAUGGGUCGUAGCUGGCUCGUCAGAGCAUGUGCACGCCUGUUUGGACUUCAUUUUCAUCCACCUGUGCACCUAUUGUAGUCUUUGGUUGGGUAUCAAGGAAGUGGUCAGCCUAUCAGCACUUGCUGGAUGUGAGGACUUGCAGUGUGAAAGCUUUGCUGUCCUUUACUUGAUCAUGGAGUUGUU
rnacentral:misc_RNA from 1 species